UACGGAGGAGGCAAGCGUUAUCCGGAAUUAUUGGGCGUAAAGCGUCCGCAGGGGGCACUUCAAGUCUGUCGUCAAAGACUGGGGCUUAGCCCUGGAAAGGCGGUGGAAACUGAAGCGCUAGAGUGCGGUAGGGGUAGAGGGAAUUCCCGGUGUAGCGGUGAAAUGCGUAGAGAUCGGGAAGAACAUCGGUGGCGAAAGCGCUCUACUGGACCGCAACUGACACUCAGGGACGAAAGCUAGGGGAGCGAAUGGG
rnacentral:rRNA from 1 species